AGCUAUCCCUUGCUGCUAAGCUAUCACCGCUGUCAACCAAUCUAUUGCUGCAAGCUAUUCCUCACUGCUAAGCUAUCCCUUGCUGCUAAGCUAUCGCCGCUGCCAAUCUAUCUAUUGCUGCAAGCUAUCCCUCACUGCUAAGCUAUCCCUCGCUGCUAAGCUAUCCCUCACUGCUAAGCUAUUCCUCACUGCUAAGCUAUCCCUCACUACUAAGCUAUCUAUCACUGCUAAUCUAUCGCUGCUAAUCUAUUGCUGCUAAUCUAUUGCUGCCAACCUAUCUACCGCGGCGAAUCUAUCUAUUGCUGUCAACCAACCUACCACUGCCAAUCUAUCUAUCACUGUCAAUCUAUCACUGCCAAUCUAUUGCUGCCAAUCUAUCUACUGCAGUGAAUCUAUCUAUCACUAUCAUUACUAGUUCAAAAUAGAACUAGAGCAUAAAUACACUAAACUUCUUUUGAUAGAUAAUGAUUUUUGAUAACACUCAUAGCAUUAUAUCAUCUAUAUAGGGUAAAUCAUGGUCCCAUUUGGUCCCAUUUUAACAAAAUGGGACUAAAUGGGACCAGGAUCAGUAAUUUAUAAGAAGAAUAUGAUCUGGGAC
rnacentral:sRNA from 1 species